UAGGACAUUACUGCUGCUGUGAGUGAUGCCUGCAAGAAGCCACACAACCAUUCAAGCACAUUGGCAAACCUGCAUGAGUGAGCAAGUUACUCCGUGGAAUCACCCUUGAGCAAUGAGGGACAGGCACAGGAAAUAAGCUCACUUUUCCACAGAGGAUGGUUUGAUUAAUGGUGUAGGGUGAACAUACUCAAAUACAGGCUUUCCUGAUAUAAGAAAACAAUGGAGGAAACACCCAGAGCCUCAAAGUUGCUUCAUUAUCAUUGCCUUUCACAAGAACUGUAGGAAAGUUGAUCAAAACGUCCUCAAAGCACUUGCCCAUUUGUCUUUGUUGACAUGCUCAAAAUGGCGUGCAUUUUGACUGCCUCAACUCACAUGUUUGCAG
rnacentral:lncRNA from 1 species